rnacentral:rRNA from 1 species
GAGUUUGAUCUUGGCUCAGGAUGAACGCUGGCGGCGUGCCUAAUACAUGCAAGUCGAGCGAACAGACGAGAAGCUUGCUUCUCUGAUGUUAGCGGCGGACGGGUGAGUAACACGUGGAUAACCUACCUAUAAGACUGGGAUAACUUCGGGAAACCGGAGCUAAUACCGGAUAAUAUUUUGAACCGCAUGGUUCAAAAGUGAAAGACGGUCUUGCUGUCACUUAUAGAUGGAUCCGCGCUGCAUUAGCUAGUUGGUAAGGUAACGGCUUACCAAGGCAACGAUGCAUAGCCGACCUGAGAGGGUGAUCGGCCACACUGGAACUGAGACACGGUCCAGACUCCUACGGGAGGCAGCAGUAGGGAAUCUUCCGCAAUGGGCGAAAGCCUGACGGAGCAACGCCGCGUGAGUGAUGAAGGUCUUCGGAUCGUAAAACUCUGUUAUUAGGGAAGAACAUAUGUGUAAGUAACUGUGCACAUCUUGACGGUACCUAAUCAGAAAGCCACGGCUAACUAC